GACGAACGCUGGCGGCGUGCUUAACACAUGCAAGUCGAACGGAAAGGCCCUGCUUUUGUGGGGUGCUCGAGUGGCGAACGGGUGAGUAACACGUGAGUAACCUGCCCUUGACUUUGGGAUAACUUCAGGAAACUGGGGCUAAUACCGGAUAGGAGCUCCUGCUGCAUGGUGGGGGUUGGAAAGUUUCGGCGGUUGGGGAUGGACUCGCGGCUUAUCAGCUUGUUGGUGGGGUAGUGGCUUACCAAGGCUUUGACGGGUAGCCGGCCUGAGAGGGUGACCGGCCACAUUGGGACUGAGAUACGGCGCAGACUCCUACGGGAGGCAGCAGUGGGGAAUAUUGCACAAUGGGCGGAAGCCUGAUGCAGCAACGCCGCGUGCGGGAUGACGGCAUUCGGGUUGUAAACCGCUUUCGCCUGUGACGAAGCGUGAGUGACGGUAAUGGGUAAAGAAGCACCGGCUAACUACGUG
rnacentral:rRNA from 1 species